rnacentral:rRNA from 1 species
UACAGAGGCCACGAGCGUUAGGCGGAAUCACUGGGCUUAAAGCGUGUGUAGGUGGAUGAGUAAGUACCUUGUGAAAUCCCACGGCUCAACCGUGGAACUGCUUGGUAUACUGCUUGUCUUGAGGCACUCAGGGGCGAGCGGAACAGAUGGUGGAGCGGUGAAAUGCGUAGAUAUCAUCUGGAACGCCAAUGGUGAAGACAGCUCGCUGGGGGGUGUACUGACACUGAGACACGAAAAGCCAGGGGAGCAAACGGG